GCUGGAGUAGCUCAGUUGGUUAGAGCGUGUGGCUGUUAACCUCCGCUCUAGCG
rnacentral:tRNA from 1 species